GGGGAAUUAGCUCAGUUGGGAGAGCGCCUCGCUGGCAGCGAGGAGGUCAGCGGUUCGAACCCGCUAUUCUCCACCA
rnacentral:tRNA from 2 species